UCUUCUGCAGUAUAGUGGUCAGUAGUUAAUCCACAGCUGGCCCGGGGCCUGGGUUCGAUUCCCAGCAGGAGAG